AAUCAACGCUGGCGGCGUGCCUCAGACAUGCAAGUCGAACGAUUAAAGCUCUCUUCGGAGAGUGUAUAGAGUGGCGCACGGGUGAGUAACACGUAAGUAAUCUACCUUCGAGCGGGGAAUAACGUCCGGAACGGACGCUAAUACCGCAUAAUGCAGCGGCAUCGCAAGAUGACAGUUGUUAAAGAUUUAUCGCUUGAAGAGGAGCUUGCGGCGGAUUAGCUAGUUGGUAAGGUAAUGGCUUACCAAGGCUACGAUCUGUAACCGGUCUAAGAGGACGGUCGGUCACACUGACACUGAAUAACGGGUCAGACUCCUACGGGAGGCAGCAGUCGGGAAUUUUGGGCAAUGGGCGAAAGCCUGACCCAGCAACGCCGCGUGAAGGAUGAAGUAUUUCGGUAUGUAAACUUCGAAAGAAUGGGAAGAAUC
rnacentral:rRNA from 1 species